GAUGAACGCUGGCGGCGUGCUUAACACAUGCAAGUCGAACGAAACACCUUAUUUGAUUUUCUUCGGAACUGAAGAUUUGGUGAUUGAGUGGCGGACGGGUGAGUAACGCGUGGGUAACCUGCCCUGUACAGGGGGAUAACAGUCAGAAAUGACUGCUAAUACCGCAUAAGACCACAGCACCGCAUGGUGCAGGGGUAAAAACUCCGGUGGUACAGGAUGGACCCGCGUCUGAUUAGCUGGUUGGUGAGGUAACGGCUCACCAAGGCGACGAUCAGUAGCCGGCUUGGGAGAGUGAACGGCCACAUUGGGACUGGGACACGGCCCAAACUCCUACGGGAGGCAGCAGUGGGGAAUAUUGCACAAUGGGGGAAACCCUGAUGCAGCGACGCCGCGUGAGUGAAGAAGUAGUUCGGUAUGUAAAGCUCUAUCAGCAGGGAAGAAAAUGACGGUACCUGACUAAGAAGCCCCGGCUAACUACGUG
rnacentral:rRNA from 1 species